GGGGAUGUGGCUCAAGUGGUAGUGCGCUCACCUAGUAUGUGUGACGCACUGGGUUCAAUUCUCAGCACCACCA
rfam:Ictidomys tridecemlineatus contig002939, whole genome shotgun sequence.